GCGGCGUGCCUAAUACAUGCAAGUCGAACGAACUCUGGUAUUGAUUGGUGCUUGCAUCAUGAUUUACAUUUGAGUGAGUGGCGAACUGGUGAGUAACACGUGGGAAACCUGCCCAGAAGCGGGGGAUAACACCUGGAAACAGAUGCUAAUACCGCAUAACAACUUGGACCGCAUGGUCCGAGYUURAAAGAUGGCUUCGGCUAUCACUUUUGGAUGGUCCCGCGGCGUAUUAGCUAGAUGGUGRGGUAACGGCUCACCAUGGCAAUGAUACGUAGCCGACCUGAGAGGGUAAUCGGCCACAUUGGGACUGAGACACGGCCCAAACUCCUACGGGAGGCAGCAGUAGGGAAUCUUCCACAAUGGACGAAAGUCUGAUGGAGCAACGCCGCGUGAGUGAAGAAGGGUUUCGGCUCGUAAAACUCUGUUGUUAAAGAAGAACAUAUCUGAGAGUAACUGUUCAGGUAUUGACGGUAUUUAACCAGAAAGCCACGGCUAACUACGUGCCAGCAGCCGCGGUAAUACGUAGGUGGCAAGCGUUGUCCGGAUUUAUUGGGCGUAAAGCGAGCGCAGGCGGUUUUUUAAGUCUGAUGUGAAAGCCUUCGGCUCAACCGAAGAAGUGCAUCGGAAACUGGGAAACUUGAGUGCAGAAGAGGACAGUGGAACUCCAUGUGUAGCGGUGAAAUGCGUAGAUAUAUGGAAGAACACCAGUGGCGAAGGCGGCUGUCUGGUCUGUAACUGACGCUGAGGCUCGAAAGUAUGGGUAGCAAACAGGAUUAGAUACCCUGGUAGUCCAUACCGUAAACGAUGAAUGCUAAGUGUUGGAGGGUUUCCGCCCUUCAGUGCUGCAGCUAACGCAUUAAGCAUUCCGCCUGGGGAGUACGGCCGCAAGGCUGAAACUCAAAGGAAUUGACGGGGGCCCGCACAAGCGGUGGAGCAUGUGGUUUAAUUCGAAGCUACGCGAAGAACCUUACCAGGUCUUGACAUACUAUGCAAAUCUAAGAGAUUAGACGUUCCCUUCGGGGACAUGGAUACAGGUG
rnacentral:rRNA from 1 species